rnacentral:rRNA from 1 species
UGAGGAAUAUUGGUCAAUGGGCGCAAGCCUGAACCAGCCAUGUCGCGUGCAGGAAGACUGCCCUAUGGGUUGUAAACUGCUUUUAUAGUAGAAGAAACACAUCUACGAGUAGAUGUCUGCCAGUAUACUAUGAAUAAGCAUCGGCUAACUCCGUGCCAGCAGCCGCGGUAAUACGGAGGAUGCAAGCGUUAUCCGGAUUUAUUGGGUUUAAAGGGUGCGUAGGCGGGACUGUAAGUCAGGGGUGAAAUACUGCAGCUUAACUGUAGCAUUGCCUUUGAAACUGCCGUUCUUGAGUACAGUUGAGGUAGGCGGAAUGUGGUGUGUAGCGGUGAAAUGCAUAGAUAUACCACAGAACGCCGAUUGCGAAGGCAGCUUACUAAGCUGUUACUGACGCUGAGGCACGAAAGCGUGGGGAUCAAACAGG